rnacentral:rRNA from 1 species
AGAGUUUGAUCCUGGCUCAGGACGAACGCUGGCGGCGCGCCUAACACAUGCAAGUCGAACGAGCGAGAGAGAGCUUGCUUUCUCGAGCGAGUGGCGAACGGGUGAGUAACGCGUGAGGAACCUGCCUCAAAGAGGGGGACAACAGUUGGAAACGACUGCUAAUACCGCAUAAGCCCACGGCUCGGCAUCGAGCAGAGGGAAAAGGAGCAAUCCGCUUUGAGAUGGCCUCGCGUCCGAUUAGCUAGUUGGUGAGGUAAUGGCCCACCAAGGCGACGAUCGGUAGCCGGACUGAGAGGUUGAACGGCCACAUUGGGACUGAGACACGGCCCAGACUCCUACGGGAGGCAGCAGUGGGGAAUAUUGCACAAUGGGGGAAACCCUGAUGCAGCGACGCCGCGUGGAGGAAGAAGGUCUUCGGAUUGUAAACUCCUGUUGUUGGGGAAGAUAAUGACGGUACCCAACAAGGAAGUGACGGCUAACUACGUGCCAGCAGCCGCGGUAAAACGUAGGUCACAAGCGUUGUCCGGAAUUACUGGGUGUAAAGGGAGCGCAGGCGGGAAGACAAGUUGGAAGUGAAAUCUAUGGGCUCAACCCAUAAACUGCUUUCAAAACUGUUUUUCUUGAGUAGUGCAGAGGUAGGCGGAAUUCCCGGUGUAGCGGUGGAAUGCGUAGAUAUCGGGAGGAACACCAGUGGCGAAGGCGGCCUACUGGGCACCAACUGACGCCGAGGCUCGAAAGUGUGGGUAGCAAACAGGAUUAGAUACCCUGGUAGUCCACACCGUAAACGAUGAUUACUAGGUGUUGGAGGAUUGACCCCUUCAGUGCCGCAGUUAACACAAUAAGUAAUCCACCUGGGGAGUACGACCGCAAGGUUGAAACUCAAAGGAAUUGACGGGGGCCCGCACAAGCAGUGGAGUAUGUGGUUUAAUUCGACGCAACGCGAAGAACCUUACCAAGUCUUGACAUCCCUUGACGAUGCUGGAAACAGUAUUUCUCUUCGGAGCAAGGAGACAGGUGGUGCAUGGUUGUCGUCAGCUCGUGUCGUGAGAUGUUGGGUUAAGUCCCGCAACGAGCGUAACCCUUAUGGUCAGUUACUACGCAAGAGGACUCUGGCCAGACUGCCGUUGACAAAACGGAGGAAGGUGGGGAUGACGUCAAAUCAUCAUGCCCUUUAUGACUUGGGCUACACACGUACUACAAUGGCGUUAAACAAAGAGAAGCAAGACCGCGAGGUGGAGCAAAACUCAGAAACAACGUCCCAGUUCGGACUGCAGGCUGCAACUCGCCUGCACGAAGUCGGAAUUGCUAGUAAUCGUGGAUCAGCAUGCCACGGUGAAUACGUUCCCGGGCCUUGUACACACAGCCCGUCA